rnacentral:lncRNA from 1 species
GGCGAUGCAGUUCGAGCCUGAACUCAUGUUCGAGACUCUCAAGCACCGUGCAGAGGAAUCCUUUGAUCAAGAAGAAGAAAUAGAAGAUAAAGGCCUGGCCUUUGAAUCUUUAAUCAGCGGCUUAGCUCAGUCCUUCCACAACAUGCCUUACCUUGUGGCACCUUCGUCUUGCUGCUUCACCGCAGCAACCGCGAAAGGUGGGAGCUAUUACUACUACAAUGAAGACAAUGCUGCUGAUUGUGCAACAGCGGAGGAUGAGAUUUGGUCCUAUUGCACUGCUUGAACUGUCUCGUAACAUCUCCAGUUUGUCUUAGUUUGUCGUCGAGGUCGUCAGUUUUUUUUUUUUGAAUAAAUUCCCCUUAGUUGGUGGUGUUAC